rnacentral:rRNA from 1 species
GGUUGGAAAUCAUUCAUAGAGUGUAAAGGCAUAAGGGAGCUUGACUGCGAGACCUACAAGUCGAGCAGGGUCGAAAGACGGACUUAGUGAUCCGGUGGUUCCGCAUGGAAGGGCCAUCGCUCAACGGAUAAAAGCUACCCCGGGGAUAACAGGCUUAUCUCCCCCAAGAGUUCACAUCGACGGGGAGGUUUGGCACCUCGAUGUCGGCUCAUCGCAUCCUGGGGCUGUAGUCGGUCCCAAGGGUUGGGCUGUUCGCCCAUUAAAGCGGUACGCGAGCUGGGUUCAGAACGUCGUGAGACAGUUCGGUCCCUAUCCGUCGUGGGCGUAGGAAAUUUGAGAGGAGCUGUCCUUAGUACGAGAGGACCGGGAUGGACAUACCUCUGGUGUACCAGUUGUCGUGCCAACGGCAUAGCUGGGUAGCUAUGUGUGGACGGGAUAAGUGCUGAAAGCAUCUAAGCAUGAAGCCCCCCUCAAGAUGAGAUUUCCCAACUUCGGUUAUAAGAUCCCUCAAAGAUGAUGAGGUUAAUAGGUUCGAGGUGGAAGCAUGGUGACAUGUGGAGCUGACGAAUACUAA